UACGAGUGGUGCUAGCGUUAUUCGGAUUUAUUGGGCGUAAAGGGUGUGUAGACGGCAUACUAAGUCAUCUGUUUAAUUCUCCGGCUUAACCGGAGCCCAGCGGGUGAAACUGGUAUACUAGAGGGUGGAAGAGAGAAGUGGAAUUCUCGGAGUAGCGGUAAAAUGCGUAGAUCUCGAGAGGAACACCAAUGGCGAAGGCAGCUUCUUGGUCCAUACCUGACGUUGAGACACGAAAGCGUGGGGAGCAAACAGG
rnacentral:rRNA from 1 species